AUUGAACGCUGGCGGCAGGCUUAACACAUGCAAGUCGAGCGAAGAACUUCGGUUUUUAGCGGCGGACGGGUGAGUAACACGUGGGUAACCUGCCUCAAAGAGGGGGAUAGCCUCCCGAAAGGGAGAUUAAUACCGCAUAAUAUCAGGAUCUCGCAUGGGAACUUGAUUAAAGGAGCAAUCCGCUUUGAGAUGGACCCGCGGCGCAUUAGCUAGUUGGUGAGGUAACGGCUCACCAAGGCGACGAUGCGUAGCCGACCUGAGAGGGUGAUCGGCCACAUUGGAACUGAGACACGGUCCAGACUCCUACGGGAGGCAGCAGUGGGGAAUAUUGCACAAUGGGCGAAAGCCUGAUGCAGCAACGCCGCGUGAGUGAUGAAGGCCUUCGGGUUGUAAAACUCUGUCUUUGGGGACGAUAAUGACGGUACCCAAGGAGGAAGCCACGGCUAACUACGUGCCAGCCGCCGCGGUAA
rnacentral:rRNA from 1 species